UCGACUAAGGUUCGAUUCGAGCGCAGCGAGAAAGCGUUGCCGUAGGCAACGACCCGAAGGGCGAAGCGCGCAGCGCUGAGUAAUCCUUCCCCCGUCAUCC
rnacentral:sRNA from 1 species